UGAGAGGAUGGCCAGCCACACUGGAACUGAGACACGGCCCAGACUCCUACGGAGGCAGCAGUGGGAAUUUUGGACAAUGGGCGCAAGCCUGAUCCAGCCAUGCCGCGUGAGUGAAGAAGGCCUUCGGGUUGUAAAGCUCUUUCGGCCGGGAAGAAAUCGUGUUCUCUAACAUAGGACAUGGAUGACGGUACCGGACUAAGAAGCACCGGCUAACUACGUGCCAGCAGCCGCGGUAAUACGUAGGGUGCGAGCGUUAAUCGGAAUUACUGGGCGUAAAGCGUGCGCAGGCGGUUUUGUAAGACAGAUGUGAAAUCCCCCGGGGCUUAACCUGGGAACUGCGUUUGUGACUGCAAGGCUAGAGUACGGCAGAGGGGGGUGGAAUUCCUGGUGUAGCAGUGAAAUGCGUAGAUAUCAGGAGGAACACCGAUGGCGAAGGCAGCCCCCCUGGGCCUGUACUGACGCUCAUGCACGAAAGCGUGGGGAGC
rnacentral:rRNA from 1 species